rnacentral:rRNA from 1 species
UACGUAGGGUGCAAGCGUUAAUCGGAAUUACUGGGCGUAAAGCGUGCGCAGGCGGUUAUGUAAGACAGCUGUGAAAUCCCCGGGCUCAACCUGGGAACUGCAUUUGUGACUGCAUCGCUGGAGUACGGCAGAGGGGGAUGGAAUUCCGCGUGUAGCAGUGAAAUGCGUAGAUAUGCGGAGGAACACCGAUGGCGAAGGCAAUCCCCUGGGCCUGUACUGACGCUCAUGCACGAAAGCGUGGGGAGCAAACAGG